AGUGAACGCUGGCGGUAGGCCUGACACAUGCAAGUCGAACGGCAGCACAGGAGAGCUUGCUCUCUGGGUGGCGAGUGGCGGACGGGUGAGGAAUACAUCGGAAUCUACUUUUUCGUGGGGGAUAACGUAGGGAAACUUACGCUAAUACCGCAUACGACCUACGGGUGAAAGCAGGGGAUCUUCGGACCUUGCGCGAUUGAAUGAGCCGAUGUCGCAUUAGCUAGUGGGCGGGGUAAAGGCCCACCAAGGCGACGAUCCGUAGCUGGUCUGAGAGGAUGAUCAGCCACACUGGAACUGAGACACGGUCCAGACUCCUACGGGAGGCAGCAGUGGGGAAUAUUGGACAAUGGGCGCAAGCCUGAUCCAGCCAUACCGCGUGGGUGAAGAAGGCCUUCGGGUUGUAAAGCCCUUUUGUUGGGAAAGAAAUCCAGCUGGCUAAUACCCGGUUGGGAUGACGGUACCCAAAGAAUGAGCACCGGCUAACUUCGUGCCAGCCGCCGCGGUAA
rnacentral:rRNA from 1 species